UGCGCAGGCGGACUAAUAAGUCAGAGGUGAAAUCCUACAGCUUAACUGUAGAACUGCCUUUGAUACUGUUAGUCUUGAGUGCAGUUGAGGUAGGCGGAAUGUGUCAUGUAGCGGUGAAAUGCUUAGAUAUGACACAGAACACCGAUCGUGAAGACAGCUUACCAAACUGCUACUGACGCUCAUGCACGAAAGCGUGGGGAGCGAACAGGAUUAGAUACCCUGGUAGUCC
rnacentral:rRNA from 1 species